rnacentral:rRNA from 1 species
GAAGACUUUGAAGUAGAAGCCAAAAACCUAACGAGCCUGGAUAUAGCUGGUUACUUGAGAAUGAAUUUAAGUUCAACUAAGAACAUAAUAUCAAAUAAAAGAAGUUCUUAUUAUAAUUAAUUAAGGUACAGCUUAAUUA